GUGCCAGCAGCCGCGGUAACACGUAGGGUCCGAGCGUUGUCCGGAAUUACUGGGCGUAAAGCGUGCGCAGGCGGUUGGGUCAGUCGCUGGUGAAAGCCCCACGCUCAACGUGGGAAUGGCCAACGAGACGGCCCGACUGGAGGCAGGGAGAGGCCGGUGGAAUUCCGGGUGUAGUGGUGAAAUGCGUAGAGAUCCGGAGGAACACCAGAGGCGAAGGCGGCCGGCUGGACCUGACCUGACGCUGAGGCACGAAGGCGUGGGGAGCGAACGGGAUUAGAUACCCCCGUAGUCC
rnacentral:rRNA from 1 species